rnacentral:rRNA from 1 species
AAUGGGCGCAAGCCUGACGGAGCAAGACCGCGUGAGGGAGGAAGGCUCUUGGGUUGUAAACCUCUUUUAUCAGGGAAGAAGAUCUGACGGUACCUGAUGAAUCAGCAUCGGCUAACUCCGUGCCAGCAGCCGCGGUAAUACGGAGGAUGCAAGCGUUAUCCGGAUUUAUUGGGCGUAAAGCGUCCGCAGGUGGUUUUUCAAGUCUGCUGUUAAAGCGCAGAGCUUAACUCUGUAACGGCGGUGGAAACUGAGAGACUAGAGUAUGGUAGGGGUUGCGGGAAUUCCCAGUGUAGCGGUGAAAUGCGUAGAUAUUGGGAAGAACACCAGCGGCGAAAGCGCGCAACUGGGCCAUUACUGACACUCAUGGACGAAAGCUAGGGGAGCGAAAGGGAUUAGA